UUGAACGCUGGCGGCAGGCUUAACACAUGCAAGUCGAGCGGUAGCACAGGGGAGCUUGCUCCCUGGGUGACGAGCGGCGGACGGGUGAGUAAUGUCUGGGAAACUGCCUGAUGGAGGGGGAUAACUACUGGAAACGGUAGCUAAUACCGCAUAACGUCGCAAGACCAAAGAGGGGGACCUUCGGGCCUCUUGCCAUCAGAUGUGCCCAGAUGGGAUUAGCUAGUAGGUGGGGUAAUGGCUCACCUAGGCGACGAUCCCUAGCUGGUCUGAGAGGAUGACCAGCCACACUGGAACUGAGACACGGUCCAGACUCCUACGGGAGGCAGCAGUGGGGAAUAUUGCACAAUGGGCGCAAGCCUGAUGCAGCCAUGCCGCGUGUGUGAAGAAGGCCUUCGGGUUGUAAAGCACUUUCAGCGAGGAGGAAGGUGGUGAACUUAAUACGUUCAUCAAUUGACGUUACUCGCAGAAGAAGCACCGGCUAACUCCGUG
rnacentral:rRNA from 1 species